AGAGAGGUUUUGGGGUUCAAUUCAAAUUCUUUAUAGAACUGUCCCUUCUCCCUCCACAAAAGAAAAUACCUAAAUAUCCGUUAAGUACACAUAUCAACAUUCUUCCGCUCAUAAAAGUCGUAAUUUUCGGUCGAUUUGAAGUGAACAUCGAUUAAAGUUAAUUCCUCUUUCCACACAGUAGAAUUCUUUUCCAUAAUGACUCCCCCCUCCUCCGUUUCGAACAAAAUUUUUUUUCAAUGAGUACAACUCGAGUUUAUCAAACGUGAUGUUUUUAAUUUUACUCCAUUCAUGUUUUUAAUGCUUUAAUAUAAUCAUUGUUCAAGCCAGGACAUAAGAUUUUGAAAAAUAUUUUUUUAAUAUAAUUUCAGCAAAAUGAAGACAUUGAAGAACACCUGAAAAAAAAUGGAAAGUGAAAAACUAACCUUUGGGACGUAAAGUGACCAUCAGGGUACUAUUAAUUUUUGGAUCUUCUUCAAACAACAAUCAUAACAAUUGAAAAAAAAAACAGAUCGAUGGACGUUUAGCAUUUGACAUAAGAAACCUAUUUACGAAGGAAUCGGAAGACAUUCGAUACAGACAUUUCACUGGAUUAUUAUUUCAAUAUCAUUAAUUUCACUCGCCAACGAUAUUAAUAGUAUUCGAAUGUUAUUGUGAAGCCAAAGAGAAAUACUUGUUAAUAGCCUUAUUUAUAACUAUAGGCAAUUAAAACCAUGCGAGGUGGUUACAGAUGAUAAAUUUUAGCGAAAUAUGUUGAAUAUUCAGAGAAGUGGACCGUAAAUUUUUCAUUUCGUUUCACUAUGGAAAUAUGGCAAAUAAAAAUUCAAAUGGCUUAACAUCAAGUAGAUCUAGAAAAAAUGAAAUGAACAAAAUGAUAAUAUUGAAUGAAAUUUCUCAAAUUAUUACAGAUACAACUAAUAGAUAGCCCAAAAGCCAUUUUGAAACUUUUGGCGGAUUUUUGGGCUA